rnacentral:rRNA from 1 species
AGAGUUUGAUCCUGGCUCAGGACGAACGCUGGCGGCGUGCCUAACACAUGCAAGUCGAACGGAACUGUUUUGAAAGAUUUCUUCGGAAUGAAUUUGAUUUAGUUUAGUGGCGGACGGGUGAGUAACGCGUGAGUAACCUGCCUUCAAGAGGGGGAUAACAUUCUGAAAAGAAUGCUAAUACCGCAUGAUAUAUCGGAACCACAUGAUUUUGAUAUCAAAGAUUUUAUCGCUUGAAGAUGGACUCGCGUCCGAUUAGUUAGUUGGUGAGGUAACGGCUCACCAAGACCGCGAUCGGUAGCCGGACUGAGAGGUUGAACGGCCACAUUGGGACUGAGACACGGCCCAGACUCCUACGGGAGGCAGCAGUGGGGGAUAUUGCGCAAUGGGGGCAACCCUGACGCAGCAACGCCGCGUGAAGGAUGAAGGUUUUCGGAUUGUAAACUUCUUUUAUUAAGGACGAAAAUUGACGGUACUUAAUGAAUAAGCUCCGGCUAACUACGUGCCAGCAGCCGCGGUAAUACGUAGGGAGCAAGCGUUGUCCGGAUUUACUGGGUGUAAAGGGUGCGUAGGCGGCUUUGCAAGUCAGAUGUGAAAUCUAUGGGCUCAACCCAUAAACUGCAUUUGAAACUGUAGAGCUUGAGUGAAGUAGAGGCAGGCGGAAUUCCCCGUGUAGCGGUGAAAUGCGUAGAGAUGGGGAGGAACACCAGUGGCGAAGGCGGCCUGCUGGGCUUUAACUGACGCUGAGGCACGAAAGCGUGGGUAGCAAACAGGAUUAGAUACCCUGGUAGUCCACGCUGUAAACG